AUUGAACGCUGGCGGCAGGCCUAACACAUGCAAGUCGAGCGAGCGGCGGACGGGUGAGUAAUGUCUGGGAAACUGCCUGAUGGAGUGGGGUAACUACUGGAAAAGGUAGCUAAUACCGCAUACCAUCAGAUGUGCCCAGAUGGGCUUAGCUAGUAGGUGGGGGAAUGGCUCACCUAGGCGACGAUCCCUAGCUGGUCUGAGAGGAUGACCAGGCACACUGGAACUGGGACACGGUCCAGACCCCGACGGGAGGCAGCAGUGGGGAAUAGUGCACAAGGAGCGGAGGCCUGAGGCAGCCAUGCCGCGUGUGUGAAGAAGGUCUUCGGAUUGUAAAGCACUUUAAGUUGGGAGGCGUUACCAACAGAAUAGCACCGGCUAACUUCGUGCCAGCCGCCGCGGUAAUAC
rnacentral:rRNA from 1 species